UUUUGUGCUUCUUUCCCACCUGUUGCUGCUAACAAAUGCUCUGACUUUAUUGCACUACUGUACUUCACAGCUAGCAGUGCAAUAGUAUUGUCAAAGCAUCUGAAAGCAGGAUGCACACCAGAA
ensembl:miRNA microRNA 301a